GACGAACGCUGGCGGCGUGCUUAACACAUGCAAGUCGAACGAUGAAGCCCAGCUUGCUGGGUGGAUUAGUGGCGAACGGGUGAGUAACACGUGAGCAACAUGCCCGAAACUCUGGAAUAACUACCGCAAACGGUGGCUAAUACUGGUAAUGUGCCAGGGAUGCUUCCCCUCUGGUUGGAAAGUUUUUUCGGUUCUGGAUCGGGUCACGGCCUAUCAGCUUGUUGGUGGGGUAAUGGCCUACCAAGGCGACGACGGCGAGCCGGCCUGGGAGGGUGACCGGCCACACUGGGACUGAGACAGGGCCCAGACUCCAACGGGAGGCAGCGGUGGGGAAUAUUGCGGAAUGGGCGCAAGCCUGAUGCAGCAACGCCGCGUGGGGGAUGCCGGCCUUCGGGUUGUAAACCUCUUUUUGUAGGGAAGAAGCGCAAGUGACGGUACCUGAAGAGAAAGCAACGGCUAACUACGUG
rnacentral:rRNA from 1 species